rfam:Camelus ferus unplaced genomic scaffold scaffold165, whole genome shotgun sequence.
GGGUAUAUAGUUCAGUGGUAGAAUGUAUGCUUAGCAUACACAAGAUCCUGGGUUCAAUCCCCAGUACCUCCA